GCGGCCAGGAGCGCCCGGCGCAGGUGGGCUCUCCCCGCCCCACACUGGUUUCUCUUCCGAGGUUGCUCCUUCGCCUCCAGCGCCCGAGCAAGGGCAGGCAGGGGACCGACUCCUCUUGUGAUGCGUUGGGGGGACUGUUCUGGGGUCUCUCGCCGAAGCCAGGACCGCGCCCACAAACGGCUUUCCAAAGUCGCAGUCCUGGAGGCCCCACCUUGGCUGAAGGCACAAGCUGCUGUCAUCCCCCAAAAGCCCUUGCAGAGAACGUGCUGGUUCCUUGGCCGCACUCUGUCCACUGAUGUCACAGAACUGGGGCCUGAGAUCUAA
rnacentral:lncRNA from 1 species